rnacentral:rRNA from 1 species
UACAGAGGGUGCAAGCGUUAUCCGGAUUUAUUGGGCGUAAAGCGUUUCGUAGGCGACUAGAUAAGUUACACUUCAAAUACCGAGGCUCAACCUCGGGCCGGGGUGUAAUACUAUUUGGAUUGAAAGGUCUCGGGGUUACUGGAACUCUCGGUGUAGGGGUGAAAUCCGUUGAUAUCGAGAGGAACACCAAGGGCGAAGGCAAGUAACUAGGGAAUCUUUGACGCUGAGGAACGAAAGCCAGGGGAGCGAAAGGG